GACGAACGCUGGCGGCGUGCUUAACACAUGCAAGUCGAACGAAGUGGCGAACGGGUGAGUAAUGCGUAAUCAACCUGCCCUUCAGAGGGGGACAACAGUUGGAAACGACUGCUAUUACCGCAUACUGAAUGAGGGGAUUGAGUGUGAUUAGCUCGUUGGGGGGGUAACGGCCCACCAAGGUGAUGAUAAGGAGCCGGUCUGAGAGGAUGAACGGCCACAUUGGGACUGAGACACGGCCCAGACUCCUACGGGAGGCAUCAGUGGGGAAUCUUCCGCAAUGGACGAAAGUCUGACGGAGCAACUCCGCGUGAGUGAUGACGGCCUUCGGGUUGUAAAGCUCUGUUAAUCGGGACGCGGUACCGGAAUAGAAAGCCACGGCUAACUACGUGCCAGCAGCCGCGGUAAUAC
rnacentral:rRNA from 1 species